UCUCCGUAGGUGAACCUGCGGAGGGAUCAUUACAGAGUUCAUGCACUAACGGGUAGAUCUCCCACCCUAUGUUAUCAUCACUUUGUUGCUUUGGCGGGCCGUCAGGCCUCGGCUUGGCUACCGGCUCUCGCUGGUAAGCGCCCGCCAGAGAACCCCAAACCCUGAAUAUCAGUGUCGUCUGAGUACUAUAUAAUAGUUAAAACUUUCAACAACGGAUCUCUUGGUUCUG
rnacentral:misc_RNA from 1 species